rnacentral:rRNA from 1 species
UCGAGGAUCUUCGGCAAUGGGCGCAAGCCUGACCGAGCGAGGCCGCGUGUGCGAUGAAGGCCUUCGGGUUGUAAAGCACUGUCGAGAGGGAGAAAAGGGCAACUUUGAUCUAUCUCUGGAGGAAGCACGGGCUAAGUUCGUGCCAGCAGCCGCGGUAAGACGAACCGUGCGAACGUUGUUCGGAAUCACUGGGCUUAAAGGGCGCGUAGGCGGGCUACCAAGUCCGGGGUGAAAUCCUCCAGCUCAACUGGAGAACUGCCUCGGAUACUGGUGGUCUCGAGGAAGAUAGGGGCAAGCGGAACCGUGGGUGGAGCGGUGAAAUGCGUUGAUAUCCAUGGGAACUCCGGUGGCGAAGGCGGCUUGCUGGAUCUUUUCUGACGCUGAGGCGCGAAAGCCAGGG